UCGAGUUUUGACUGGGUUGUAGCUGGCCUUCCGAGGCAUGUGCACGCCCUGCUCAUCCGCUCUACACCUGUGCACUUACUGUGGGUCUCGGACAGCGAAGCGAGUCCUUUUGCGGGCUCGCGGAUCGUCUGUGCCUGCGUUUAUUACAAACACAUACAAAGUAUCAGAACGUGUAUUGCGAUGUAACGCAUCUAUAUA
rnacentral:misc_RNA from 1 species